rnacentral:lncRNA from 1 species
UAGAAUCAGUAAUAAUUCGUUUUACAGGAAGGAGCUAAUUCUCAGUGUAUGUGCAUUCUGUCCCUUGGACAUAAGGAACUAUUUCUCUAGACCUCUGCAUAGCCACUAUGGGAAUUUUUCUUAAGUAGUGGAGUCAUCAUUGUGCACAUCCAACAUUGUUGUGGGUUGUAUGUAAGUAGGUGACCGGGAAGUUUGUAGGCUUCUCAUCUAGUGUUUCAGGGGAGUCGCCCUUCCUCUUGGUGUGACUCUACUUCACCUUGGUCUCUGAGUGGGAGACUAAAUAAUAUAACUUGUUAAGAGUUAUACUGAAGAUAAAGUAUCCGAGCUCUGGGAAGUGCUAAGGCAAUGCACUAGAGUCAGACCUGGGUUCAAGUGCGUCCUUAUUAAUGUACUAAAUGACCUUAGGCAAGUUCCUUGCCUUUCCUUGUGUUCGAUUUUCACGUCUUAUAAAAUCAGGAUAAGAAUGCAGAGCUUUUGUGAGAUGAAAUGGCAUGCAAAGUGCCAGAGUCCUAUCUAGUGAAUGCACCUCUCCUCUUUCACAAGUGCAGUAGACUAUGUAAAGUAUAUCUCAAGCUGGAUUUGUUCUGCAAAAGGACACCGGGUUCUGUGUUGUAGUGGCUUCCUAUAGACCUUCAUUUUUCCUCUCUUCUGUUAUUCUUUACUGCUGCCAUUGUUGUAAGAGGUACUUGAUUUGUAUUGUUCAGUAAGCUGUGUUGGUUAAGUCUCUUCCCCCAGAAGGGCUCUUAAGUCCUCAAGUAUUGAGAGUAUUGGCUGAGACCUGGAAGCUACUAAGUAACUAUCCGAUGGAUAAACAAAGGUGUUUGCCUUCUUGCUGUCUCCCAUUAAUUUGCAAAGAUGAAAUUUCCACUUUAUGGAGUUUCUCCCCCACAGCAUUGAUUCAUGCAUGCAUUUGAGCAGCACACAGUGACUAACAUAGCAAGCACUGGGGGCAAGUAGGAAUGUUUGGAUGUUCUGCCAAAGGGAGACAGGCUGUAAAGAAGUCCAGGGAGAGUUUCUUGAGGCAAACACCUUUAAAGAGAGAUUUAAUGUUCAUUCAUUCACUCACUCACUCAUUCAUUCAUUUACUCUGAGACAGGAUCCUGCCUUAGCCUGCCAGGUUGUUGUGGUUAUAUACCACCACACUUUUCUUAUGAGUAAUUAUCCAUACAGUGAGAUUUGUCAUAGGGUUCUAGACCUAGAAAAUAGUUUGUGUGAAGGCUUCAAGGCAAGAGCAAGUAACUGAGUUCUAAGACUUGACAGUAAUUUAGGAUUGUUGAAGUUCACAGUUUGAGGGAAGUGUGGAAUUUAAGAGCAUAUGCUCUGGAGUCAGGCAGACCUGGCUUAGAUACUUUCUUAUCUGUACAACUAAGAAUAAGUUCCAUAUUGCUUUUCAACUCAGUUUCCUUAUCUGCAAAAUGGGGAUGAUGCUAGUAGUUCUUGCCUCACAGUGCUGCCGAUGCCGAGAGGAUAAAAUGGAAUAAUGCCUGCGAUGCAGAGCGCAAUGCCAAGCACAGGAGAGGUGCACUAGAAAGGUAGACACAGUAUUGUUCUCCCAGAGGGACUGUGGGCAGGGCUAAGGAAUGUAUGUGUUAGCCCAGGACAAUGGGAAGCCACUGAUGCUUUGAACACGAGGGUAAUAUGAUUGCUAGUGUUACAGAGAUCAUUCUGGAAGAUCCAGGGUCAGGAGGGGAUGUGUCGGAUCAGUUACAAGGUUGUUCUGCGGCAGAAACAAUAGUGGACAGCCAUGUGGUGAAAGAACAGCAAAUGAAUGUGAGUUGAACAAGGUGUUAGAACCCAUGGAAUAUAGCAUUUAAAUAAAUUGAAGAGAUGAAAAUAAAAUCAGAAUUUGUGACUUGAUUACUUAGUGAAUAAUGACUGGUAGGUCGAUUUAGGAGAAAAAUUCGUUUUUCUUUCUACACAUUGAGUGAAGUUAAGCCGUCUCUGAGGCACCCAAAAGGAAGUCACCCCUGGAUGGGUUUGUGUCUCUGCUUCCACUGUAUAGUUCUCCUUCACUUCUCCAGACUUACCCCAGCUGUCACCUUUCUGUCCACCCUCAUUGCUGCGCAGCCACUUAUCUACCCUGCUCAUCUGACCGAAUUACUUUGCUGUCUAACCCCCAUUAUGAUAGCCUACAGCCUUAACACUGCUGACCCACACUUCCCAGCCCAGCCUCACUGCCCCUCAUUGCUCACACUGGCAGCCGCCUCACUUGGAGGGUGAGUAGUAGUUGGAGCUAGUGCUCCAUGGUGCUGUCUGUCACUCACUGGGAACAGCAGCAGCAGCUGAGUCACAUGUAAGAUCUUGAAGCUGCUCCUACAGGCCUUUAACUACUGUGGUCAGUUCAAGGAACUGGUCAGCAAGGGAGAGCUGUGGAUUGGAUUCCAGAUGACCGCUAAACCUAUAAAAAUUAGCACAUUGGUAGACAAAGCCUUAUAUCACCCGUUCUCAAUUUGUUGAUUUCAUAGCAACAACAUAUUAAAAUCUGUUUGACAAAUUUUCAAGAAUUGCUGUGUACCAAGCACUGUCCUUGGAAUCCAAGGAGCAGGGAGAUGUUUCCCCUGCAUCUCAGCAGGUCCCCCUUCUCAUCUUUGCUGAAUCUAAAAGAAAUCCCAUUUAUAAAUCUCUUUAUAUACCUCAGGCCCAUGUAAGGGUCACUACUGAGUCUUGUUGUCUGUAAAAAAAAAAACC